rnacentral:rRNA from 1 species
UAGAGUUUGAUCCUGGCUCACAUUGAACGCUGGCGGCAUGCCUUACACAUGCAAGUCGAACGGCAGCACGGGCUUCGGCCUGGUGGCGAGUGGCGAACGGGUGAGUAAUACAUCGGAACGUGCCCUGUAGUGGGGGAUAACUAGUCGAAAGAUUAGCUAAUACCGCAUACGACCUGAGGGUGAAAGCGGGGGACCGCAAGGCCUCGCGCUACAGGAGCGGCCGAUGUCUGAUUAGCUAGUUGGUGGGGUAAAAGCCUACCAAGGCGACGAUCAGUAGCUGGUCUGAGAGGACGAUCAGCCACACUGGGACUGAGACACGGCCCAGACUCCUACGGGAGGCAGCAGUGGGGAAUUUUGGACAAUGGGGGCAACCCUGAUCCAGCAAUGCCGCGUGUGUGAAGAAGGCCUUCGGGUCGUAAAGCACUUUUGUCCGGAAAGAAAUGGCUCUGGUUAAUACCCGGGGUCGAUGACGGUACCGGAAGAAUAAGCACCGGCUAACUACGUGCCAGCAGCCGCGGUAAUACGUAGGGUGCGAGCGUUAAUCGGAAUUACUGGGCGUAAAGCGUGCGCAGGCGGUUUUGUAAGACAGGCGUGAAAUCCCCGAGCUCAACUUGGGAAUGGCGCUUGUGACUGCAAGGCUAGAGUAUGUCAGAGGGGGGUAGAAUUCCACGUGUAGCAGUGAAAUGCGUAGAGAUGUGGAGGAAUACCGAUGGCGAAGGCAGCCCCCUGGGACGUCACUG